GAACGAAGAAAACAAAGACGAUGCUAUUUUUGUCGAAGCUGCUGGUCCUGUUGCAUAUAUUCGUUUGGAGACAUACUGGGUUUAUUCCCAUAUGUCGCGGGACUACAAAUGCAUAACCUCGCCGCCGUAACCAGCGUAGUGAUAUCUCACUGAAAGCUGCGGGGGACUAAAGCGACGGACUUCUUAUCAGCUUGUGACAGGACGGCUUCAAGAUGGCCCAACCAGCAGCCCAACCUGGACCGUCCCGUCAGCCUGGGUAUUCCCUGCGCCCCCCCGCUCCGCAACCUGUCCCUUCUGCCGCACAGCGUCCCGCAGCGGCACCUGCCGGCGCACCGGAUAUCGCACCAGCCCCAUUAGACGCAGGUGGCGAAGGUGGCCCUGCAGCAGGACCUCACGUGCCCGGAACACCCGACGCCGAGCUUCCUGAUCCCGAUUCUCUGUUCCACAAAGGCAUGGCUGACGAGGAUCCUCCACCCGAUAUUAUGGGCACGAUUGCCCUGUUGAUGGUGGCGGUCUUUGCCACAGUGUGUGUGUUUGCGCUUGUAGUUGCCAUCAUGCGCUACUAUGAGCGUACCAAAGAGGAGUCUGACCGUAAGACGGCGAAGACAACUGCUCGGAAUGCGUCGACGACUCCAAAGAACCGAUCUGCGCGAUGGGACAUCACCGAAUACCCAGCUAUAGAAAACGAAACGAUAGUCAACGAAACAACAGUCACCGAAAGUUCCGCUACCGAAGGAGUUACUUCUUAACCGGCUGGUCACUGCAGAGUUCGUCAGCAGUUCAGUGAAGCAGCAGCGUCUUCUACCAGUGUUCUUACCCGGGAAAGGCUCUUAUUCCUACAUCAUGGCUGUAACAUACAGGAGAACAGUAAACUCCAACCCCA